rnacentral:rRNA from 1 species
ACGGGGAGAAGAGCAACAGGGAUUGCCCCAGUAACGGCGAGUGAAGCGGCAACAGCUCAAAUUUGAAAUCUGGCCCCCGGGUCCGAGUUGUAAUUUGUAGAGGAUGCUUUUGGCGAGGUGCCUUCCGAGUUCCCUGGAACGGGACGCCAUAGAGGGUGAGAGCCCCGUCUGGUCGGACACCGAGCCUCUGUAAAGCUCCUUCGACGAGUCGAGUAGUUUGGGAAUGCUGCUCAAAAUGGGAGGUAUAUGUCUUCUAAAGCUAAAUAUUGGCCAGAGACCGAUAGCGCACAAGUAGAGUGAUCGAAAGAUGAAAAGCACUUUGAAAAGAGGGUUAAAAAGUACGUGAAAUUGUUGAAAGGGAAGCGCCUAUGACCAGACUUGGGCCCGGUGAAUCACCCAGCGUUCUCGCUGGUGCACUUCGCCGGGCACAGGCCAGCAUCAGUUUGGCGCGGGGGAGAAAGGCUUCGGGAAUGUGGCUCCCCCGGGAGUGUUAUAGCCCGUUGCGCAAUACCCUGCGCUGGACUGAGGUACGCGCAUUCGCAAGGAUGCUGGCGUAAUGGUCAUCAGCGACCCGUCUUGAAACACGGACCAAGGAGUCGUCUUCGUAUGCGAGUGUUCGGGUGUCAAACCCCUACGCGUAAUGAAAGUGAACGCAGGUGAGAGCUUCGGCGCAUCAUCGACCGAUCCUGAUGUUCUCGGAUGGAUUUGAGUAAGAGCAUACGGGGCCGGACCCGAAAGAAGGUGAACUAUGCCUGUAUAGGGUGAAGCCAGAGGAAACUCUGGUGGAGGCUCGCAGCGGGUUCUGACGUGCGAAUCGAUCGUCAAAUAUGGGCAUGGGGGCGAAAGACUAAUCGAACCUUCUAGUAGCUGGUUUCGCGUUUUUCUCUCUCCCCCAGAGAAAAA